UGAACCAAAACGAAACUCGCGACUCGCAUGAAUGUGUAGAAGGCGGUGAAAUGAAACCUCCAUGACAACACGCAGCUGCAGAUGGACUUCUGUGCACGACAGAGGAGGAUAUCAUGCAAAUACAUGUGAUCACUAAUAAAGUGUGUUACAUACACCAACGGGAG